ACAUCGCUGAUCGGCGAACGGUCAACAUCACCUGGAGCGCACCACGAAGAGGACCGUGCCUGCUCUCACGGCGAAAUCUCAGAAUGAAGUUCCAUGGGAAAAACAUCAGAUAUUACAUUAAUACGAGGUACAUAAAGGAGAAUCUGAAAAGAAUCGAAGAAGAGGUAAAAGAAUAAAAAUGGAUGAUAAAAAGCACAAAAGAAAAUAAGAUAGCAAAGCGCAACGUCUCUUACUACGUCAAGUAUAAGAUAGGGUGGUCUUCAUCCGCAAAAGUGCCCCCCGGGAGCUGCGUCAACGUCCUACAGAAGAAGCAGAACUCCCUUCGUUUCCUGAGCCUUUGGCCUUUCAAGUUACCUCUUCACGGAUCUUCACGAAUGGGCAGGAUCACAACGGCAACGAGUUUUCUGGACGGACGUCACUCAGAUUCCGACCUUCUACCAUUCUUCUUGGGCCGUUAUGAUUUAUGGAUUCAUUAAUGCAACAUACAACACUUUCUCGGCCACGGGAAAAGGGAACGUUGAUUAACCGUUUUAUUUUUGGUGCUAAAGCAAAUGUAAGAUAUGACUAUAUCGAAUUGUUAUUUGUUUCCUUGCAAGCUGCAAAUAAAUAAAUUUCUUAAGA
rnacentral:lncRNA from 1 species